CAUGAUACAACAUUAUGUGCUGCUGUGAUUUAACUAAAUACAAUAACAAGUCUGAGCAGCAACAUAAAUAAGGACUCUAAUUUUACUUAAGCAAAAAUACCCAUGAGUAAAACUGAAAAUUUUAAGACUGAGGAAAGAACUGAGUUCAUGUUUUUUAUGAAAAAAAAGUUUAGUUUCCAGAUCUACUUAUGUUGCAUUAAUGAACAGUAGCUGCUCAGCAAAAUAAAUGCAGAAAUUCAUUAAAGUUGGAGGAAAAUAGCAAUAUCUUAGUUAAUUUUCUUUGGGAAGUGAUUCCUUCUGACUAUAGAUGUUGUGCAAUAGUUCUGCUACUCUGUGGUGCUCCAGAAAGCUGAAAAUCUGAGAUUUACCUGUGCUGAUUCACAUGACCUGUAGUCAGUAUUUAUCAACAAAGACCUGCCAGUUGUCCCUUGAUCUGGAGGAAACCCAAAGCAGUCAGAAGGAAAUGCUUCUCAAAGAUAGGAAAGCUGUGAUAGGAGCAAAGGAAGUUCUUUCAUCUGAGUGCUGCUUGGCAGGUUGGCUUUUUCCACAAAUUGGAAGAAAUAGAAUAAAGUGAAAAGAUAACCAAAGAGAAGGUGAAGAAAGGUGUUCAGAGCUGACAGUGCUGCAGAUGUGCAUGAAGUGGUGCUUCCAGCCCCUGGCCAAUGCAAUCCCAGUGCCCAGGAAUCCCCAGGAAUCCCCAGUCUGCCCCUGAAUGGGAGCUUCAUCCCCUCAGUGAAACACUU